rnacentral:rRNA from 1 species
GACGAACGCUGGCGGCGUGCUUAACACAUGCAAGUCGAACGGAAAGGCCCUGCUUUUGUGGGGUGCUCGAGUGGCGAACGGGUGAGUAACACGUGAGUAACCUGCCCUUGACUUUGGGAUAACUUCAGGAAACUGGGGCUAAUACCGGAUAGGAGCUCCUGCUGCAUGGUGGGGGUUGGAAAGUUUCGGCGGGUGGGGAUGGACUCGCGGCUUAUCAGCUUGUUGGUGGGGUAGUGGCUUACCAAGGCUUUGACGGGUAGCCGGCCUGAGAGGGUGAACGGCCACAAUGGGACUGAGAUACGGCCCAGACUCCUACGGGAGGCAGCAGUGGGGAAUAUUGCACAAUGGGCGGAAGCCUGAUGCAGCAACGCCGCGUGCGGGAUGACGGCCUUCGGGUUGUAAACCGCUUUCGCCUGUGACGAAGCGUGAGUGACGGUAAUGGGUAAAGAAGCACCGGCUAACUACGUG